rnacentral:rRNA from 1 species
CCAGGCUUGAACAGCGAGUGACCACUUCCGAAAGGGCGCUUCCGCAAGGACACUCGUAGAGGUGCUGCAUGGCUGUCGUCAGCUCGUGUCGUGAGAUGUUGGGUUAAGUCCCGCAACGAGCGCAACCCUUGUCUGCUGUUGCCAUCAGGUUAUGCUGGGCACUCUGCAGAGACUGCCGGUGAUAAACCGGAGGAAGGUGGGGAUGACGUCAAGUCAGCAUGGCCUUUAUGUCUGGGGCUACACACGUGCUACAAUGGCCGAUACAAACCGUCGCGAGCCCGCAAGGGGGAGCUAAUCGGAGAAAGUCGGUCUCAGUUCGGAUCGUAGGCUGCAACUCGCCUGCGUGAAGUUGGAAUCGCUAGUAAUCGCGGAUCAGCACGCCGCGGUGAAUACGUUCCC